rnacentral:rRNA from 1 species
GCAAGUCUCCGCACCCCUGUGAGAACGCCCUUAAAUCCCUAAAGGGAUUAGGAGCUGGUAUCAGGCUCGAUUAUCAGCCCACGACACCUAGCCAUGCCACACCCACAAGGGUAUACAGCAGUGAUUAAUAUUGACCAUAAGCGCAAGCUUGAUUCAGUCAAAGUAAACAGAGCCGGCAAAUCUGGUGCCAGCCGCCGCGGCCAUACCAUGGGCUCGAACUGAUUAAAUUCGGCGUAAAGCGUGAUUAAAGCUACCUUAAGCUGCAGUUAAACUGGAACUAAGCAGUAAAAUACUUGAACCCAGGAAACACAAGAACGAAAGUCACUGCAAAACAACCUACUUGACCUCACGAC